ACGCGAAAGCCCCCUUCGGGGGGCAAGUAGAGUGGCGCACGGGUGAGUAACACGUAGGUAAUCUACCUUUGGAUGGGGAAUAACCACCGGAAACGGUGGCUAAUACCGCAUAAUGCAGCGGCACCUAAUGGUGACAGUUGUUAAAGCGGGGGAUCACAAGACCUCGCGUCUGAAGAGGAGCCUGCGGCGGAUUAGCUAGUUGGUAGGGUAACGGCUUACCAAGGCGAUGAUCCGUAGCCGGCCUGAGAGGGCGGUCGGCCACACUGACACUGACAUACGGGUCAGACUCCUACGGGAGGCAGCAGUCGGGAAUUUUGGGCAAUGGGCGAAAGCCUGACCCAGCAACGCCGCGUGAAGGAUGAAAUCCCUCGGGAUGUAAACUUCGCAAGAACGGGAAGAAUAAGUCUGCGCAAAUAUCGCAGAUGAUGACGGUACCGUUUGUAAGCUCCGGCUAACUCCGUGCCAGCAGCCGCGGUAAUACGGGGGGAGCAAGCGUUG
rnacentral:rRNA from 1 species